rnacentral:lncRNA from 1 species
UGCUGCCUUGCUUCGAGGACAUCAAAGACACAGCAGCCGGGCAGGGUCGAGAGUUUAAAGGUCAGAGGUGAGACCAGGGUAGACAGGCAAAGCAGAGAUGCAUUGUGGGCCUACUUCAGAGCGUCUCUCUCCGCCUGCCCUCUGCUCUGCUACUUCUCUGUGUUCAAAGGUGCAGCUGCUGCUCCUCUAACUCACAUCCCAUGCAGUUCAAAGGCUACAUAGAGGCUGCUGCUGCUGGUGCGUAUACAAUCCAGGUUCGCCUCAAGUGCUUCCAGAAUAUCCCUGUCCUCCGAGAAAUGUACCGUCACAUUGUUAAGAAGAUCCUUCAGCAUCUUGACAAACAUGCCCACACAGGACUGCUAUGGAAAAAUAACAUGGCUUAGUCAGGCUAUUGUAAAUAAAAGUCCAUGUGUCAUCAUUACCCGAGCCCAACAAAGCUCGGUCUAAAUAGUUCAGAGUGCAGGUGGUGAAAAGGGUGCAAUACUUACUGCAUUAUCUUUAUUGUAUGUCACACGCAUCAUCUGUGUCUACAGGGAAAGAAAAUGUGUUUAAUUCCUUCAUUCAGAUAUUUUAUUCUAUCUGUAAGGUUAUGACUUUAACAAUAAAGCGUCUGACAGAAAGACCUGCAAGAGUGAAGCCACAAGUGUGGAAAUAAAGUGUGAUAAUAUGCAAUGCAAUAUACUUACAGAUGUGAUAUUGAUGCGUUUCUCUUUGUAGAGUAUGUUGAGCCUGUCCAGUUGCUCUAUAAUCUCCUUGUUCACCUGCCUGUUUGACUGAACACUGUAGUAGAGAUGCAACAGGACGAGAAGGGCAAGCACGAACUUCAUACUGCAGCGUUGUUUCUUUUCCUUCACAGCUUCUUCUUGUUGUCUUAAGUGUGAGUCUUGAUGUGAUCAGUAUCUAGCCCAUUCUUUUUAUAUACACAAGAAAAAGGAAGUCAAUGACGUAUCCUUGACUCGUCGUAAAAAACACCUACCUGAAAAUGCAAAUAAUUGUUUUCUUUUUCAUGUGAUGGGCAUCCUUUUAGGGUAUUUUCAAAAUCUGAACAGAAACUUAAGACAUAAAAGUUAUUUAUGUAUAUCACCUCUGAUAUGAGUCAGCGUCAACAAUCUUGUUUUACUGCAUUCUGGUAGAAGACAUUCUUGAAGAGAUAGUAACUACAUGCAAGCAGUUCAUGAGCUUGUUUGCUUUUAAAAGAACAAGCAAACUAUUUUGCAACUAUGUGUACAAAUGCAAAUAGAAGGGGCCUCCAAUAUUUUGUUAUGACAUAUGUAAUCAUGUAAACUCACUUUUAUUUACUCACUACGACUUUUUCACCAUUUCAAAGCUUUUAAUGUUGCAUUGUUUUUUUAACAGUGAGUACUCUGUGUUCAUGUAAUAUCAACACAUUGUCAUUGACCUCAAUGAGCUGUUAACAUCGCUGUAUUCUAAACUUUAUUUCACUACUUGGAGGUGAUCUAAUUAUGUCAAUGCUGUGAGGUCUUACUGCAAAUAUAAUAAAUGUGCCACAGCUUAUGGAUAAGAGCUACACAGUAACCAGUAAAAAGGAUUUUGGUCUGCUCCUGCAACUUUUAGAAAUGAACUGGUAUGUCAUUGAACAUGGGGAGAAAAAAAAUAACAUGUUCUUAGAGUAUAAGGAAGUACUUUCUUAAAGAGUGAGAGAAACUGAGAUGGGCAUCCCUUCUCCUUUUUUCAUCCCCACUUUCCGAAAAUUUCUCACACUUCAGUUUCUGUGGUCAGAAAAUAUAGUUACUACAGUGUAAUGACUAAGUGUGGGUCAUUUCAAAGUUUCUGUUUUUUUCCCCUAUGUCCAGGGCAUUGGUUAAAGUGAUGAUUCAUAUGUAAGUAAGUGGGUGAUGGAGAUCCCCAACCUUGGCCUGCCGUGGCACGUACAGUUUAAUUUGUGUUAGCACAGUUUCACGGGGAAACUCCUUUGAAGUUUAAAUAUUCAGUGUAUCAGUUUUAUUUGAAGGAGCGGUGUGUAGGAUUUGAUUCAAUUAUAUUCACAUAUUCUAUUUGUAUAUAAUUAUAACAAAAGUUAUGUCAGGACACCUCUCAAAUACAGUAGGUCUAGACUAUAAUCCUUAUAAAAUUGUUUACAUAGAGCCAACAGUUCCCACCUUGAACAAGCACUUUGUGACAGACCCCGGCUGUAGGUGGUUGAUCUUCUGCCUCAACCGCUUGGGGAGGAAGAGGGAGGCUUAAUGGGGGUGGGGGAGAGACACAGAUGCAGAGCAAUAAAAAAAAUAGCGACAGUCACAAUUAUAAUACUUUAAAGAUGACUAAUAAUAAUAAUGAUGAUGAUGCAAAUUGCAACUACUUGAACAUUGUGGCGUCUGUAUUUGACGACCUGAGAAUGAGAACAAGGUGUGAAGUGUGUAGGAACGCAAAAGGCCCUGUCUAACUGUCCCUUCUGGGCUACUGUAGAAAGAUGAUCUACGUGAAAAGGCGACCAACGGUGUCUGUAGAUAAAAACUCAACUUCUAAGGUAAAAAAAAAACAACAAUUCCUAUAUUGAGGUGAAUACUAAUGAAAUCAUAGCUAUGAAUAUUACAUCAAUUUCUGCCACUAGAUCCUCCUAAAUGUUACACACUGGACCUUUAAGUGGAUAUAUUUAACAAGCUUUAUUUUUUUAAUGUACAGAAGGAAUUGACACUUCCUGUAAGAAUAUCUG